rnacentral:rRNA from 1 species
GACGAACGCUGGCGGCGUGCUUAACACAUGCAAGUCGAACGAAGAGCGAUGGAAGCUUGCUUCUAUCAAUCUUAGUGGCGAACGGGUGAGUAACGCGUAAUCAACCUGCCCUUCAGAGGGGGACAACAGUUGGAAACGACUGCUAAUACCGCAUACGAUCUAAUCUCGGCAUCGAGGAUAGAUGAAAGGUGGCCUCUACAUGUAAGCUAUCACUGAAGGAGGGGAUUGCGUCUGAUUAGCUAGUUGGAGGGGUAACGGCCCACCAUGGCGAUGAUCAGUAGCCGGUCUGAGAGGAUGAGCGGCCACAUUGGGACUGAGACACGGCCCAGAGUCCUACGGGAGGCAGCAGUGGGGAAUCUUCCGCAAUGGACGAAAGUCUGACGGAGCAACGCCGCGUGAGGGAUGACGGCCUUCGGGUUGUAAAGCUCGGUUAAUCGGGACGAAAGGCCUUCUUGCGAAGAGUGAGAAGGAUUGACGGUACCGGAAUAGAAAGCCACGGCUAACUACGUG